CGGCGGACGGGUGAAGUAACACGUGGGGUAACCCUCCCUGGUAAGACUGGGGAUAACUCCCGGGGAACCCGGAGCUUAAUCCCGGAUAGUUUCCUUGUAACCGCAAUGGUUCAAGAAUGAAAAGACGGUUUUCGGCUGUCCCUUACAGAUGGACCCGCGGCGCCAUUAAGCUAGUUGGUGGGGGUAAUGGGUUCCCAAAGGCGACGAUGCGUAGCCGGCCUGAGAGGGGUGAUCGGCCACACUGGGGACUGAGACACGGCCCAGACUCCUACGGGAGGGCAGCAGGUAGGGAAUCUUCCGCAAUGGACGAAAAGUCUGACGGAGCAACGCCGCGUGAGUGAUGAAGGUUUUCGGAUCGUAAAGCUCUGUUGUUAGGGAAGAACAAGUGCGAGAGUAUCUGCUCGCACCUUGACGGUACCUAACCAGAAAGCCACGGCUAACUACGUGCCAGCAGCCGCGGUAAUACGUAGGUGGCAAGCGUUGUCCGGAAUUAUUGGGCGUAAAGGGCUCGCAGGCGGUUUCUUAAGUCUGAUGUGAAAGCCCCCGGCUCAACCGGGGAGGGUCAUUGGAAACUGGGAAACUUGAGUGCAGAAGAGGAGAGUGGAAUUCCACGUGUAGCGGUGAAAUGCGUAGAGAUGUGGAGGAACACCAGUGGCGAAGGCGACUCUCUGGUCUGUAACUGACGCUGAGGAGCGAAAGCGUGGGGAGCGAACAGGAUUAGAUACCCUGGUAGUCCACGCCGUAAACGAUGAGUACUAAGUGUUAGGGGGUUUCCGCCCCUUAGUGCUGCUAGCUAACCCAUUAAAGCCA
rnacentral:rRNA from 1 species